GAAAGAAGAAGCCCAGUUGAAGAAGUCUGCUAAUGCUGGAAACAGAAAAAGCUCUCCAACUACACAUCCAGCCAAGCCAUGUCUAUCCGUGAGCACUUGUCCAGCGAAACCCCACCUGGCAGCCAAGAUAACCAGCAAAACCAGCGGAAGAAAAGAAACCUCACUAUACAAAGUAGAUGGAUCUGUAGCAAUGGAGGCAGGAAUUUCCUCUCCACACACAUUCCUUAUUGUUGCCCCUGAUUAGUUGCAGCCUGAGGGCACACAUGCCAGCAAAGCUUCUUACUAGCUGAGGCAGCAGAAGACCUGAGGGAAGGGAACAGUCCAGUCAAGCACUUCAGAAAUCUCAUGUGAACACAGUCUAGCAGUGGAGAUUCCCACGUAUCCAGACCUCCUCAUUCUGUGGGACUCUUUUUUCAGUGUCUUUCUAUAACCAGAGGAUCUAUACCAGGUCUUUUAACACCUCAGACUUGAGCCUGCAAUAACACCUACUUGCUUAAGUGGAGGAAAAUUUGGAGCAGUGGAGGCAAACCAUCCAGAGGGUCAGAAGGAGGAAGAUCAUGAAGGUUUUAUUUUGAAGAGUUAAAACCAUUAUUCUGAGAAAGGGUCCACAGUUUUCACCUCAUCAAAUGAAAUUAUAUCUGUGAAGCACUUAACAUAGCGAGUGGUACAAAGUUGUUCAUCUUUCACUUUUGACAAGGACCAAAUGACAUCAUGAGAUAAUGAGUCCUUUUCCCAGUAGUUGGUACCAGCCAUGGCUUCUUUAUUAUACUGCUUCUGCAUCUUGUGUAUCUCUUCUGUCCCACCUGACACAGACUUCCCAAUGUCUGGCCUCUCCUUAGAGAGACUAGGGUUGUAAAACUCUAGUCUUUUGGAACUCAAAAACAGUGGAACGGGGGCCUGGCAGUCCCAGAUCUCACACUAUACUACAAAGCAGUAAACAGCAAAACUGUGGUACUAGC